AGGAUAUUAUUUAGGUUGUUUGGAAGAGGAUUAUUAAUUAAAGUAAUUUUAGGAUGUAUAUAUUAGUAUAGUUUAUAGAACUUAUGAAGUGGAUUAUAGAGUAGUAGUACUGUAGAGGGAAUAUGAAAUAGAUGAAAUAGUUAUUGGAAUAGAAGAAGAAUGUAAUUUGUACCUUGGGUAUCAGGGUUUAUUAAUUAAUGAUAGUGAUUUUAUAAUUCUCGAAUUAAAAAGAGUUAAAGUAGUAAGGUAGUUAAUGUAUUAUUAUUAUUGGAAAUACUAUUUUAGAAAUGAAAUGUUAGACGUUUUUUAAGUUAUCUAGUUUUCUAAGAGAUGAAUUUAAUUCAUGUUAUUGGGAGUAAAUAUUAAUUUAAAGUUAAUGAUUUAUUUUUAGUAACAAAUAUAUAAAGGGAUAAGCUUUUGUAUAAGUAUUAAAAAUUAUAAGAGAUUACAAGAAGUAGUAGACUUUAAAUUAGUCAUCUAUGAGAUAAUGUUAUAAAUUGUUUUGUAAAUAAGGUGAUUUUUUAAUAGUUUUAAAUUAUUUAUUAGGAUAUUAUAUUAAAUGGAUUAAUUUAAGUAAUGAUGAUAAAAUGAGUAUAUAUAAUUGUUUAUUAAAAUUUAUAUGGGAAUUUGUAAUAAGGAACUAGGCAAUUUAUCACUCGCCUGUUUAUCAAAAACAUCUCUUUUUGGUUUAAUAUAAGGUAGGGCCUGCCCACUGAAGUAUUUUGAAGGGCCGCGGUAUUAUGACCGUGCAAAGGUAGCAUAAUCAUUAGUCUUUUAAUUGAAGGCUGGAAUGAAUGGUUUGACGAGGUGAUAGCUGUCUCAUUAUAAUAUGUAGAAGUUAACUUUUAAGUUAAAAGGCUUAAAUUUUAAUGGAGGACGAGAAGACCCUAUAGAGCUUUAUACAUAGAUUUAAGUUUGUGUUUAGAAGUAUUUAAGAGUUUAGAUUGACUGUAUUGUGUUGGGGUGACAUAAAGAUAGAAUUAACUCUUUAUUUUAAGUACAUUGAUAUAUGGGUGUUUGAUCCAUUUUUAGUGAUCGUAAGAUAAAGUUACCUUAGGGAUAACAGCGUAAUUUCUCUUGAGAGUUCAUAUCAACAGAGAAGAUUGCGACCUCGAUGUUGGAUUAAGGAAUAGGGUUAGAUGUAGCAGUUUAAUUAAUGGGUCUGUUCGACCCUUAAAUCCUUACAUGAUCUGAGUUCAGACCGGUGUAAGCCAGGUCGGUUUCUAUCCUUAUUGUAUUUUUAUGCUUUAGUACGAAAGGACCAGGUAUAGUAAAUAUUUUAUAAGAAGUUUGAUUGUUAGU
rnacentral:rRNA from 1 species